UACCGUACUGCAAACCGACUCAGGUGGGCUAGUAUAUAUACUCAGGCCAUAGAAUCAACCAUGUUAAAGGAACUCGGCAAAAUGCACGCGUGACCUCGGAGGAAGCGUGGCUAAAAAGACUCAGCAAAUAGCCGACAGCGACUGUUUACCAAAAACACAGGAUAGUGCUAACAGACGUAAAUUAAGCUGCAAAAAGCGGUUUUAUUUUUGGAUGUAUACUAUCCGACGCCAAACGGCGGCAGUAACUCUAACUGUCCUAAGGUAGCGAAAUUCCUUGACUUGUAAUUGGCGUCCUGCAUGAAUGGCGGAACGACUGUCGGGCUGUCUCUAACAUGGAAUCUGUGAAUUUGAAAUCUUCGUGCAGAUGCGAAGGCGCUGGCAAGGGACGAAGAGACCCUAUGCAGCUUCGCUGGGUGCUAAGAGUUACUCUUAUCCUCAAGCUUUUCUGGGACGGAUGCUUCCUAAAUAGUAACGGGAGUGAUCAAUGGUACUGCUACUUAAAUAGAAAGCAGUGCUUGACUGUAAGAACCACAGUUCGAGCAGGGACGCAAGUCGGCAUUAAUGACCCAGGGUAACAU
rnacentral:misc_RNA from 1 species